CCCCUAGAUGUUCUGGGCCGCACGCGCGCUACACUGAACAGUUCAACAAGUCUUAACCUUGGCCGAUAGGUCUGGGUAAUCUUUGAACGCUGUUCGUGAUGGGGAUAGACUUUUGCAAUUUUUGGUCUUCAACGAGGAAUUCCUAGUAAACGCAAGUCAUCAACUUGCAUUGAUUACGUCCCUGCCCUUUGUACACACCGCCCGUCGCACCUACCGAUUGAAUGGUCCGGUGAAGCCUCCGGAUUGGCGCGCACCUCGGUGCCGCCGAGAAGUUGGCUAAACCUUACCAUUUAGAGGAAGGUGAANUCGUAACA
rnacentral:rRNA from 1 species